rnacentral:rRNA from 1 species
GAUGAACGCUGGCGGCGUGCCUAAUACAUGCAAGUCGAGCGAACAGACGAGGAGCUUGCUCCUCUGACGUUAGCGGCGGACGGGUGAGUAACACGUGGAUAACCUACCUAUAAGACUGGGAUAACUUCGGGAAACCGGAGCUAAUACCGGAUAAUAUAUUGAACCGCAUGGUUCAAUAGUGAAAGACGGUUUUGCUGUCACUUAUAGAUGGAUCCGCGCCGCAUUAGCUAGUUGGUAAGGUAACGGCUUACCAAGGCAACGAUGCGUAGCCGACCUGAGAGGGUGAUCGGCCACACUGGAACUGAGACACGGUCCAGACUCCUACGGGAGGCAGCAGUAGGUAAUCUUCCGAAAGGGGCGAAAGCCUGACGGAGCAACGCCGCGUGAGUGAUGAAGGUCUUCGGAUCGUAAAACUCUGUUAUUAGGGAAGAACAAAUGUGUAAGUAACUAUGCACGUCUUGACGGUACCUAAUCAGAAAGCCACGGCUAACUACGUG